UUCCGUUCGUUUUUAAACUUACGAUUAUUAUUAUUAAAAAAAAAAAAAAAAAAAAAAAAAACAUUAAAAUAGCCUUUCUUAAAACGCAACACAUACAUAUCAUUAUAUACAUUUUUGACGCUAUGCGUAUAGCCAGUGUAUUUUUUUUAAUGUGAUCAACACGUAGCCUUAUUAUUACUAUUAUUAUUAUAUAAUUAUUACUUAUAUACCUAAUAUUGUGUAU